rnacentral:misc_RNA from 1 species
UCUCCGUAGGUGAACCUGCGGAAGGAUCAUUAUUGUAUAACCGAGGUGCGAGGGCCGUCGCUGACCCGAAAGGUCGUGCACGCCCGAGUGCCCUCACACACAUCCAUCUCACCCCUAUGUGCACCACCGCGUGGGUCCCCCUUUGGCUUGUUCGGAGGGGGGCUUACGUUUUCACACAAACUUUGUAUGCAGUGUAGAAUGUAUUUUUUGUUUUUGCGAUCACGCAAUCAAUACAACUCUCAACAACGGAUCUCUUGGCUCUC